CCUAUAGCUUAGUUGGUGGAGCACUGGUUUCCGGAAAUUAGGGCCUUGGUUCAAUUCCAGGUAGGUCCA
rnacentral:tRNA from 1 species